ACAAUCUUAUUAGUUUGUUUUAUGUCUUUACAAAUGUUCAAUUCAUAUGUUUUGUGGAAAGCUGAACUCAAUAUCGUCUAUAAUGUACCACUUCUUUAAAACAUAAGCGAUCAAUAUGUUUGGUUUAAACUUAUUUAUUACGACAUAGUAACAUAUUCACAAGUUACAAGACAUUGACAUAGGAUCAAUAUGUUUCAAUUAUGGUCCUCUUCCAGUUAGAAUAUAACUAUAGUACCUUGACCUUAUUGAAUAUGAACAAUUUCCCCAUGGUGGCUUACUUUAUACUGUCAAGCUCUUGAAUAGUCGAGCGCGCUGUUUUCUGACAGCUCUUGUUGUUUUUCUCAUCGACAUUUCCAUUUUAACAUUUAGUAGCCAAAAGGGUCCAAGUCCCCUUGAUCUCGCAAGAACGUACUGCCAGAAUUACGUUGAUCCACCAGGGUUUGAAGUAAAACCGUCAAUGAUGUCAUAGGCGAAGGAGUCUUUGCCACUAAGCCUUUUAAAAAAGGAGACUUUCUUCUCGAAUACAAAGGGGAUCUGAUAACACGAGUAAAACAUGCACGGCAAUUAGAAAAGGAGUAUGAAAAGGAGGGUCAAGGCAGCUUCAUUUACUUUUUUAAAUACAGAGACAAAUCUUGCUGCAUUGACGCUACCAACGAUAUAUUUCAUGAGGGUCGAAUGAUAAAUGAUGCCGAAAAUGGAGACGCAAAACAAUAUUGUGUAAUGAAAAUAGUUGAAGUCAACCAAACUCUCCAUCUAUGCACUUUCGCCGACAGAGACAUUGCAAUUGGCGAGGAACUCCGAUAUGAUUAUGGAGUACCAACACUUCCA